GCUGGGUGCGGUGGUGCACACCUGUAAUCCCAGUGGUUCUGGAGGCUGAGGCAGGAGGAUCAUGACUUCAAAGCCAGUCUCAGCAAAAAUGAGGUGUUGAACAACUCAGUGAGACCCUGUUUGUA
rnacentral:sRNA from 1 species